rnacentral:lncRNA from 1 species
AGAAGGUGGAAGUGAUAUUAUGCCAGGUCCAGACUUAGGCCUUAGGAGGCCUGGCAGUUUCCAUUUUCACCCUCUUGGGAUCCAGCCACUAUGAAACCAAGUUCACCUGCUUUAUUGGAGAGAGAAAUGACCUAGAAGAUGAAAGACAGCAAAGGGAGAGCAGGAUGCCCAGCCAGCCACCAGCCAUUCUGACCCCUUCAGCUGAGGCACUGCAUGGGCCCCAGGACCUCCAGCGUCAAUGUUGUGGGAUGAUGGGUGACAGAGCCAAAGCAUCGCCAUCUUGGACAAGCACGGUCAUUCUGAAGUUCCCCUUGAUCAAAAACUGCCUAAACCCAAAGGAUAUCAGCCUGAUGGCUAAGGUCAGCAUGACCAUAAACCAUAAAUAACAUCUCUGACCAGGAACAUUCCAAACCCCUCCAUGAGACAUGCCAGCCCUGAGAUAACCUCCCCUCCGGCCAGAAAGAUGUCAGACCCAAGAUAACCUCCCCUCCGACCAGAGACAUCCCAACCCUGCCAUAAACUUCUCCCCCACACAGAAACAUUCUGAGCUUGUAAUAAGCCCCCUCAUCCUAAAACCAAUAUAUACUCUUAGUCCGUAAGAGAAAGUGCUCCUGAACAAAAUUGGCCAGAAGCCCCUCUCCGGCUUAUUUUCUCUAAAAUACAUCUGUCGUUAAAUUGAGCCACAGUUCGUGUUUCUUCCCUCUUUCUUUAACUCUUACAAUGGGAAGCAAACUUUUUUAGUGGGUUAUUAGGAAUAAUAGUGAAAAGCAUAAUUCUCCUCUCCAGGCCUUGCUUCCUGGACCCACACAUCUCACCUGUGGGGAAGAUGGAACCAUAUAUUGGCCACUGGUUUAAUGUACAAGAUGUGUCUCCAGUCCCAAUGGUAGACAUCCUAUAGCCAAGACUCCAUCCAAUUGCCUGACCUCCACAUGUCCCUACUCUGACUGGAACCUUGUGGGUAGUUUAGGUCUCUGAGGAUCAGUCAAGCUCAGAGCAAGAUUGAAUAACCCCUGGAAGGUGUGGAUAUUCCUAUUUCCCCAGGAUCAGAGGCAUAUUUACCAUAAAGCUAAUGAUGCUUAUGCUUCAAGACUGCUCACUUACUAAAGCCCUGGUGUUAACAUGAUCAUAUGCAUUUAUAAAAUUUGCAAACAUAAAAAAUUUUUUAGUUGGGCUUUAUUUUUUUUUUAAUAUUUUUCAUUUUUCGAGAUGGAGUUUUGCUCUUGUUGCCCAGGCUGGAGUGCAGUGGCACGAUCUUGGCUUGCCACAACCUCUGCCUCCCAGGUUCGAGGGAUUCUCCUGCCUCAGCCUCCCGAGUAGCUGAAAUUAGAGGCAUGUGCCACCAUGCCCGGCUAAUUUUGUAUUUUUAGUAGAGAUGAGGUUUCUCCAUGUUGGUCAGGCUGGUCUUGAACUCCUGACCUCAGGUGAUCCGCCCACCUCGGCCUCCCAAAGUGAUGGGAUAACAGGCAUGAACCACCGUGCCCCACCUGGACUUUAUUUUUUAUUAUUUAUUGAUUUUUUGGAGACAGAGUCUUGCUAUGUCGCUCAGGCUGGAGUGCAAUGGCAGCACUGCCUCCUGGGUUCAAGAGAUUCUCACCUCUCAGCCUCCCGAGUAGCUGGGACUGCAGGGGCACACCACCAAGCCUGGCUAAUUUUUGUACUUUUUUU